rnacentral:lncRNA from 1 species
CUUUGCAAAUCAUCCAUUUUCACACAAGACAUUAAGUUAGUUGUAUAGUAUAUAGAUGUAUUUUCUGUAGUUGUGGGCAUCUUUUGAACUACUGGAUCGGAUGAUAUAUAUUACAUGAAUAAUUUAACAAGGUUGGUUAGAGGAUAACCAAGUGACCUUGUUAAAUCUAACCAUGAACCACUUGGAGGAUGCAUGUUAAUUUAACAAGGUCAAUGCGCACGGGAUCCAUGCAUGUUAAUCUAAUAACCAGGAAUCCCACUUGGAGAAACUUUGUUGGAGAGAUAUCAAUUCUUACUCCCUCAAUCCCCGCUAGAUCCAUGCAUGUUAAUUUCACAAGGUCAAUGCUUCAUAUAUGCAUAGUAUAUGUAGCUGAGUCUUGCAUGCUUUGCUGGCUAGCUAGUGUAGAUUGUUAAAGGCUUUCGCUGCCUAUAAAUAGCCUCGCCCGCCCAAAGCUUAUGGGGACAAAUAUAUCAUCGAUCAGAGUAGCAGAUCGACCACCUCUCUCAUCCGAGCUCUUCCGAUCCAUCCAUCAUCUCGCCCAUAUAUAUAUACUAUACCCCUUCUAGAUACUAAUAGCUCUAGCUAGCUAGCUAGCUAUAGUCACAUCUCGAUCGAUCUCAAUGGCUUCUCGUGCGGCCGCCGCGCUGAAGAUGGCCACCAUAGCUGCCCUUGUCCUGCUGCUGUGCGUGGGUACCUCACCUGUGACAGCCCAAGAUUGUGUUAGCCAAUGCACAGUGUGGUGCGUCCAGGCACUACUAGAGAACGAACAGACCUUUCGUCGAUGUGUCAAAUGAGCUUUAGUCCCGGCAUUUUUGGCGCCCGGGACAAAAGAAAUCUUUAGUCCCGGUUGGUAAAGCCAACCGGGACUAACGUUCCCUCCCCAACGGCUCUGGUGUCAGGCGCUGUCGGAGAGGGACCUUUAGUCCCGGUUGGUGUUACCAACCGGGAGUAAAUACUUACCUUUAGCCCCGGUUUGUGACACUAACCGGGACUAAAGCUUUUGUCCCGGUUGUGGGCACGGAUAAUAUAUAUGUAGUUUCAUACUUUAUUUGUGUGCAAUAAUAAUGACGCUCUCGUAUAGGUGCAACGUAUACGGAUAAUUGCGGCGUAUACGAUUAAAUUGGAGAACAUAUACAAUUGAAAACCAAAAUCAAUAAAGAAAUGAAAAGGAAAAAAAAAGAAAAGAAAAACAAAAAAAACCUUUAGUCCCGGUUGGUAAUACCAACCGGGACUAAAAGGGGUGGCCAGAGGUGGCGCCACGUCACUGCCUGGUGCCCCCUUUAGUCCCGGUUGGGGUUACCAACCGGGACUAAAGGUCCCCAUUUAGUCCCAGGUCUGGGAGCCGGGACUAAAGGUGGGACUUUUAGUCCCGAUCUCUUAGUUCCGGCUCGCCACCCAGGAAUACAAGUGGUUUUCGACCGGGACUAAAGGCCUGUUCUGUACCAGUGAGGUAUGCAGCACUAAUUUUGAGGAGUGGUGUGGCGCCGUCUGCCAGGAAAGCUGUGACGCCGGGCAGUACCCUCCUCCUCAGUGGCCUUGCCAGCCCUAGUAUGCCUUUGCCUCGAUCGGCCCUUUAUUUGCAACCAGAUACAUAUGCAUGGUUUAAUUAAUAUAUGUUCAUAUUUCCUUAUUAUUGUUAUUGCAAAGAAUAAAGAUGAGUGCAUGCAAGCAGAAGCAGGCAGGACCUCUCUCCACAUAUAUACAUGUGCCAGCACCCAGCAGCCGCACCGUGUGCGAGAGGGCGCGCUUGUUUUUGUUUGCUGCUAGGUUAUUGCACGCAAAACAAAUCUUGUACUAGUGUUAAUCGUAUAUAUGUUUCGUGGUUGAGCCGCCACCUGCCGCCGGCAUGACGGCGCGUACAAUAAGAUCGACGUCCUAUAUUAGUAUAGGAGUAGUACAAUUGUACACCUCUCCUCUCUCUCUCUCCAUGCAUGUAUAAAUGGAAGGGGAAUAGUAAUACGUGCCCUGUGCCCAUCAUCUUGGUGCCGUUGUAUGUAUGGUUGUGUGUGCAUGUCAAUAUGUAAGUUUCUCUCAGGUCCUACUAGGUACUUGAGGGAAUAUUCGAUCAUUGGUAUCAUUAUAUAAUUUAUGGACUUUUCGAUUAUGAAUGAUGAUAUAGUAUUUUCCAGAUUUCACAAGCAGCUAGCUCAAUUUGUCGUGCCUUGAAUCUACCCCUUACUGCCUCUCUCACAAUUUACUGUACAUUACAGUAACAGAUCGCAUGAAAAUACACCCGUUAAGUAUAACAC